ACGAACGCUGGCGGCAUGCCUAACACAUGCAAGUCGAACGAGACCUUCGGGUCUAGUGGCGCACGGGUGCGUAACGCGUGGGAACCUGCCCUUAGGUUCGGAAUAACUCCCCGAAAGGGGUGCUAAUACCGGAUAAUGUCUUCGGACCAAAGAUUUAUCGCCUUUGGAUGGGCCCGCGUUGGAUUAGCUAGUUGGUAGGGUAAAAGCCUACCAAGGCGACGAUCCAUAGCUGGUCUGAGAGGAUGAUCAGCCACACUGGGACUGAGACACGGCCCAGACUCCUACGGGAGGCAGCAGUGGGGAAUAUUGGACAAUGGGCGAAAGCCUGAUCAAGCAAUGCCGCGUGAGUGAUGAAGGCCUUAGGGUUGUAAAGCUCUUUUACCCGGGAUGAUAAUGACAGUACCGGGAGAAUAAGCUCCGGCUAACUCCGUG
rnacentral:rRNA from 1 species